rnacentral:rRNA from 1 species
AAUUUUGCGCAAUGGGGGAAACCCUGACGCAGCAACACCGCGUGAAUGUUAAGCCCUUCGGGGUGUAAAGUUCUGUCAGUGGGGAAGAAUUUUGACUGUACCCACAAAGGAAGCACCGGCUAACUCCGUGCCAGCAGCCGCGGUAAUACGGGGGGUGCAAGCGUUGUCCGGAAUCAUUGGGCGUAAAGCGUUCGUAGGCGGCAUGUCAAGUCUGGUGUUAAAGCCCGGGGCUCAACUCCGGUUCUGCAUCGGAUACUGGCAAGCUAGAAUGUGGUAGAGGUAAAGGGAAUUCCUGGUGUAGCGGUGGAAUGCGUAGAUAUCAGGAGGAACAUCGGUGGCGAAAGCGCUUUACUGGGCCAUAAUUGACGCUGAGGAACGAAAGCCGGGGGAGCAAAUGGG